GAUAAAAUCCGUCGUCAAGAGGGAAACAACCCAGACUACCAGCUAAGGUCCCUAAAUCUUACUUAAGUGGAAAACGAUGUGAAGUUACUUAAACAACCAGGAGGUUGGCUUAGAAGCAGCCAUCCUUUAAAGAAAGCGUAAUAGCUCACUGGUCUAGUGAUUUUGCGCGGAAAAUAUAACGGGGCUAAAGUAAGUACCGAAGCUGUAGACUUAGUUUACUAAGUGGUAGGAGAGCGUUCUAUUUGCGUCGAAGGUAUACCGGUAAGGAGUGCUGGAGCGAAUAGAAGUGAGCAUGCAGGCAUGAGUAGCGAUAAUUAAUGUGAGAAUCAUUAACGCCGUAAACCCAAGGUUUCCUACGCGAUGCUCGUCAUCGUAGGGUUAGUCGGGUCCUAAGUCGAGUCCGAAAGGGGUAGACGAUGGCAAAUUGGUUAAUAUUCCAAUACCAACAUUAGUGUGCGAUGGAAGGACGCUUAGGGCUAAGGGGGCUAGCGGAUGGAAGUGCUAGUCUAAGGUCGUAGGAGGUUGUACAGGCAAAUCCGUAUAACAAUACUCCGAGAACUGAAAGGCUUUUUGAAGUCUUCGGAUGGAUAGAAGAACCCCUGAUGCCGUCGAGCCAAGAAAAGUUUCUAAGUUUAGCUAAUGUUGCCCGUACCGUAAACCGACACAGGUGGGUGGGAUGAGUAUUCUAAGGCGCGUGGAAGAACUCUCUUUAAGGAACUCUGCAAAAUAGCACCGUAUCUUCGGUAUAAGGUGUGGUUAGCUUUGUAUUAGGAUUUACUCCGAAAGCAAGGAAACUUACAACAAAGAGUCCCUCCCGACUGUUUACCAAAAACACAGCACUCUGCUAACUCGUAAGAGGAUGUAUAGGGUGUGACGCCUGCCCGGUGCUCGAAGGUUAAUUGAUGGGGUUAGCAUUAGCGAAGCUCUUGAUCGAAGCCCGAGUAAACGGCGGCCGUAACUAUAACGGUCCUAAGGUAGCGAAAUUCCUUGUCGGUUAAAUACCGACCUGCAUGAAUGGCGUAACGAGAUGGGAGCUGUCUCAAAGAGGGAUCCAGUGAAAUUGUAGUGGAGGUGAAAAUUCCUCCUACCCGCGGCAAGACGGAAAGACCCCGUGGACCUUUACUACAGCUUGACACUGCUACUUGGAUAAGAAUGUGCAGGAUAGGUGGGAGGCUUUGAGUAUAUGACGCCAGUUGUAUAUGAGCCAUUGUUGAGAUACCACUCUUUCUUAUUUGGGUAGCUAACCAGCUUGAGUUAUCCUCAAGUGGGACAAUGUCUGGUGGGUAGUUUGACUGGGGCGGUCGCCUCCCAAAUAAUAACGGAGGCUUACAAAGGUUGGCUCAGAACGGUUGGAAAUCGUUCGUAGAGUAUAAAGGUAUAAGCCAGCUUAACUGCAAGACAUACAAGUCAAGCAGAGACGAAAGUCGGUCUUAGUGAUCCGGUGGUUCUGUGUGGAAGGGCCAUCGCUCAAAGGAUAAAAGGUACCCCGGGGAUAACAGGCUGAUCUCCCCCAAGAGCUCACAUCGACGGGGAGGUUUGGCACCUCGAUGUCGGCUCAUCGCAUCCUGGGGCUGGAGCAGGUCCCAAGGGUAUGGCUGUUCGCCAUUUAAAGCGGUACGCGAGCUGGGUUCAGAACGUCGUGAGACAGUUCGGUCCCUAUCUGCCGUGGGCGUAAGAAGAUUGAAGAGAUUUGACCCUAGUACGAGAGGACCGGGUUGAACAAACCACUGGUGUAGCUGUUGUUCUGCCAAGAGCAUCGCAGCGUAGCUAAGUUUGGAAAGGAUAAACGCUGAAAGCAUCUAAGCGUGAAGCCAACUCUAAGAUGAAUCUUCUCUAAGCUCUCUAGAAGACUACUAGUUUGAUAGGCUGGGUGUGUAAUGGAUGAAAGUCCUUUAGCUGACCAGUACUAAUAGAGCGUUUGGCUUAUCUUUAAUAAAGCAU
rnacentral:rRNA from 1 species